rnacentral:rRNA from 1 species
UACGGGGGGGGCAAGCGUUGUUCGGAAUUACUGGGCGUAAAGGGCUCGUAGGUGGCCAACUAAGUCGGACGUGAAAUCCCUCAGCUUAACUGGGGAACUGCGUCCGAUACUGGAUGGCUUGAGUUUGGGAGAGGGAUGCGGAAUUCCAGGUGUAGCGGUGAAAUGCGUAGAUAUCAGGAGGAACACCAAUGGCGAAGGCAGCUCGCUGGGACGGUACUGACGCUGAGACGCGAAAGCGUGGGGAGCAAACAGG